rnacentral:rRNA from 1 species
CCUACGGGUGGCAGCAGUGGGGAAUAUUGCACAAUGGGGGAAACUCUGAUGCAGCGACGCCGCGUGAGUGAAGAAGUAAUUCGUUAUGUAAAGCUCUAUCAGCAGGGAAGAAAAUGACGGUAUCUGAGUAAGAAGCCCCGGCUAACUCCGUGCCAGCAGCCGCGGUAAUACGUAGGGGGCAAGCGUUAUCCGGAUUUACUGGGUGUAAAGGGGGCGUAGACGGCAGUGCAAGUCUGGAGUGAAAGGCGGGGGCUCAACCCCCGGACUGCUCUGGAAACUGUACGGCUGGAGUGCAGGAGAGGUGAGUGGAAUUCCUAGUGUAGCGGUGAAAUGCGUAGAUAUUAGGAAGAACACCAGUGGCGAAGGCGGCUUACUGGACUGUAACUGACGUUGAGGCUCGAAAGCGUGGGGAGCAAACAGGAUUAGAUACCCCGGUAGUC